UUGGAGGGCAAGUCUGGUGCCAGCAGCCGCGGUAAUUCCAGCUCCAAUAGCGUAUAUUAAAGUUGUUGUGGUUAAAAAGCUCGUAGUUGAACCUUGGGCCUGGCUGGCCGGUCCGCCUCACCGCGUGUACUGGUCCGGCCGGGCCUUUCCCUCUGUGGAACCCUAUGCCCUUCACUGGGUGUAGCGGGGAAACAGGACUUUUACUUUGAAAAAAUUAGAGUGCUCCAGGCAGGCCUUUGCUCGAAUACAUUAGCAUGGAAUAAUAAAAUAGGACGUGUGGUUCUAUUUUGUUGGUUUCUAGGACCGCCGUAAUGAUUAAUAGGGACAGUCGGGGGCAUCAGUAUUCAAUUGUCAGAGGUGAAAUUCUUGGAUUUAUUGAAGACUAACUACUGCGAAAGCAUUUGCCAAGGAUGUUUUCAUUAAUCAGGAACGAAAGUUAAGGGAUCGAAGACGAUCAGAUACCGUCGUAGUCUUAACCAUAAACUAUGCCGACUAGGGAUCGGACGGUGUUAUUUUUGACCCGUUCGGCACCUUACAGGAAA
rnacentral:rRNA from 1 species